GCGACCCCAGGUCCAGGC
rnacentral:rRNA from 1 species